GGGGGUUAGGAUGUCAACAAUUCUUUUUUAGGAGGAGACAAAAUUCAGUUUCUUACACUCAUGAAGGCAAAACAGAAAGCAGAGAAGACUGCCAGGAAACGCUGGGGUGAGGGGCUGCUCCCUUAGAUCAGGUGGUCUGGGGAGGCCUCUCUUCACCAGAGAUGCGUGAGUCACAGCAUGAAGGAGAUGAAUUAGCAACGCUUUCCCAGGAGUAAAGAACAUGGACUUCAUUACCUGGCGUUUAGGACAUUUCCCUUGGUGUCUCAGAGGGACCGCAGGUCAGAUGAGCGUGCAGCUGUGGCUCCAUCCCGUGCCUUUGCCUGUUCUGAACUUUCCAUCAACGGAAUUGCAGAUUGGCCGGGCACGGUGGCUCACGCCUGUAAUCCCAGCACUUUGGGAUGGGGAGGCUGAGGCGGAAGAAUCGCUUGAACCCGGGAGGCGGAUCACUUGCAGUGAGCGGAGAUCGCACCACUACACUCCAGCCUGGGGGACAGCGCGAGACUCUGUCAAAAAAUAAAAAUAAAAAAGGAAUUGCAG
rnacentral:lncRNA from 10 species